rnacentral:tRNA from 1 species
GGAGGGAUCGCAUAGUGGUCUAGUGCGGGCGCCUGCUAAGCGCUUACCCCUGAAAAAUUGGGAUCGUGGGUUCGAAUCCCACUCCCUCCGCCA